UCCGUAGGUGAACCUGCGGAGGGAUCAUUACCGAGUUUACAACUCCCAAACCCAUGUGAACAUACCUACUGUUGCUUCGGCGGGAUUGCCCCGGGCGCCUCGUGCGCCCCGGAUCAGGCGCCCGCCUAGGAAACUUAACUCUUGUUUUAUUUUGGAAUCUUCUGAGUAGUUUUUACAAAUAAAUAAAAACUUUCAACAACGGAUCUCUUGGUUCCGGCAUCGAUGAAGAACGCAGCGAAAUGCGAUAAGUAAUGUGAAUUGCAGAAUUCAGUGAAUCAUCGAAUCUUUGAACGCACAUUGCGCCCGCCAGUAUUCUGGCGGGCAUGCCCGUCUGAGCGUCAUUUCAACCCUCAUGCCCCUAGGGCGUGGUGUUGGGGAUCGGCCAAAGCCCGCGAGGGACGGCCGGCCCCUAAAUCUAGUGGCGGACCCGUCGUGGCCUCCUCUGCGAAGUAGUAAUAUUCCGCAUCGGACAGCGACGAGCCCCUGCCGUUAAACCCCCAACUUUCUAAGGUUGACCUCAGAUCAGGUAGGAAUACCCGCUGAACUUAAGCAUAUCAAUAAGCGGAGGA
rnacentral:rRNA from 1 species